CAUGUCUUUUUGAAUUAUAAUUUAAAGUCUAAUCUGCCCACUGAUUAUUAUUAAAUGGCCGCAGUAUACUAACUGUGCAAAGGUAGCGUGAUAAUUAGUUUUUUUAUUGAAAGCUGGUAUGAAUGAUUGGACAAGGAAAAUACUGUCUUAAUCUAAUUUUUAGAAUUUUAUUUUUAAGUUAAAAAGCUUAAAUAAUUUCAUGGGACGAGAAGACCCUAUAGAGUUUUAUAUUUAAUAAUGUUUUUUAGUAAUAUUUAUUUAUUGAUUAAGUAUUUAGUUGGGGUGAUUUAAAAAUUUAUUAAACUUUUUAUUUUAAAAACAUUGAUUUUUGAAUAAUUGAUCUAUUAUUAUAAUUGUAAGAUUAAAUUACCUUAGGGAUAACAGCGUUAUUUCUUUUAGAGUUCUUAUUUAAUUAGAAGUUUGCGACCUCGAUGUUGGAUUAAAAUGAAUUAUUGGUGCAGUAGCUAAUAAAGAUUAAGUCUGUUCGACUUUUAAAAUUUUACAUGAUCUGAGU
rnacentral:rRNA from 1 species